rnacentral:rRNA from 1 species
UACGUAGGGUGCAAGCGUUGUCCGGAAUUAUUGGGCGUAAAGAGCUCGUAGGUGGUUUGUCGCGUUGUCCGUGAAAACUCACAGCUCAACUGUGGGCGUGCGGGCGAUACGGGCAGACUGGAGUACUGCAGGGGAGACUGGAAUUCCUGGUGUAGCGGUGGAAUGCGCAGAUAUCAGGAGGAACACCGGUGGCGAAGGCGGGUCUCUGGGCAGUGACUGACGCUGAGGAGCGAAAGCGUGGGGAGCGAACAGG